rnacentral:rRNA from 1 species
ACUUGCCGCUGUCGGCAGGCCUAACACAUGCAGUCGUGCGGAUGAGUGGAGCUUGCUCCAUGAUUCAGCGGCGGACGGGUGAGUAAUGCCUAGGAAUCUGCCUGGUAGUGGGGGACAACGUUUCGAAAGGAACGCUAAUACCGCAUACGUCCUACGGGAGAAAGUGGGGGAUCUUCGGACCUCACGCUAUCAGAUGAGCCUAGGUCGGAUUAGCUAGUUGGUGAGGUAAAGGCUCACCAAGGCGACGAUCCGUAACUGGUCUGAGAGGAUGAUCAGUCACACUGGAACUGAGACACGGUCCAGACUCCUACGGGAGGCAGCAGUGGGGAAUAUUGGACAAUGGGCGAGAGCCUGAUCCAGCCAUGCCGCGUGUGUGAAGAAGGUCUUCGGAUUGUAAAGCACUUUAAGUUGGGAGGAAGGGCAGUAAGUUACUACCUUGGUGUUUUGAGGUUACCAACAGAAUAGGCACCGGCUAACUUCGUGGCCGCAGCCGCGGUAAUACGAACGGUGCAGCCCGUUAUCGGAAUUACGGGGCGUAAAGCGCGCGUCGUGGCUCGCUGACUUGCAUGUGAGGGCCCCGGGCUCGGGCUGGGGACUGGGUGCACGACUGGUGAGCUAGAGUAUUGCGCAGGGUGGUGUAAAUUUCCUGUGUUCCGGGGGAAUG